GGUAGCACUCUUAACCUGCGGUUCAAAUUCCUUUGUGAUGUUUGAGGCUGGUCCAGACCCACCAAUGGGACGGGGAGAAGAGCAAGCGGUGGGCGGGGGCGCUGGCAGGGGAGGAGAGGGAGCCUUGGGGAGAAACCUGGGGGAGGCAGGGCUGAGGGCAUAGGGCGUUGAGUGAUUUUUGAGGAAAGGCUCUAGAGAAGCGCCGCGUUAAAGUAGGGAGGAGGGCCCCCCGAAACUGGCUGCCCCGGGGCAGGGCCGGUUGACCCGCGCCUGGGAGGAGCCCCGCGUCCCGUCGCGCCGACCCUGGGCUGGCUGCGUGUGCGUCGGGAGUCGAGCCGCCGUACGCACCAGGAAGUGACUCCCAGCGGCAGAGAUCCACGCUGUCCGCUGGCUUUUUCGUUUGCCGCCUCAGCUGAGAACCGUGUGUGGGGCCAGCCUAACUGAAGGAAAUGUAAACAGAGUGUAAGCAGGACCCUUGUCUGUGGUACUAUGAAGUAUUUCUUUGACAGUCUGCAAUGGAGUCCUGCUUUUUGUUUCAUGAAGACUAUCAGGUGGUUCAAGCCAUUCAAAACUGCAGGGCUAUCCGCACGCAGAUUUUUAUUUCCUGCAAGCCCCAUGGUGAAACCACAAGGAACAUCAUUGAGACUAUGCUGUCCUCCAGACUCAGCUAAGAAGCUCUUUGGUGAGUCUUUUGUUCUGAGAAAAGCUGUGCCUGUUGAUCUGUUCUCCCCCACCAUGCACUGCAAGCUGGUGCUCCUCCUCACUUGCGAAUCAGCCUCCUAUGAUACUGCAGGCUCUUUAUUAAGGCAGAAGUUUCAGUAA
rnacentral:lncRNA from 12 species